rnacentral:rRNA from 1 species
UACAGAGGUCUCGAGCGUUGUUCGGAUUCAUUGGGCGUAAAGGGCGCGUAGGCGGCGGGGUAAGUCUGGUGUGAAAUCUCGGAGCUCAACUCCGAAAUUGCACUGGAUACCGCUCUGCUAGAGGGCUGGAGAGGAGAUCGGAAUUCACGGUGUAGCAGUGAAAUGCGUAGAUAUCGUGAGGAAGACCAGUGGCGAAGGCGGAUCUCUGGACAGCUCCUGACGCUGAGGCACGAAGGCCAGGGGAGCAAACGGG